CUACGGGUGGCUGCAGUGGGGAAUAUUGGACAAUGGGGGAAACCCUGAUCCAGCAAUGCCGCGUGUGUGAAGAAGGCCUGCGGGUUGUAAAGCACUUUCGGUUGGGAGGACUGCUUCUAGCACUAAUAUUGUUGGAAGUUGACGUUACCUUCAGAAGAAGCACCGGCUAACUCCGUGCCAGCAGCCGCGGUAAUACGGAGGGUGCAUGCGUUAAUCGGAAUUACUGGGCGUAAAGCGCGCGUAGGCGGCUAGAUCAGUCGGGUGUGAAAGCCCCGGGCUUAACCUGGGAACUGCAUCCGAUACUGUCUAGCUUGAGUACAGGAGAGGAGGGUGGAAUUCCACAUGUAGCGGUGAAAUGCGUAGAUAUGUGGAGGAACACCAAUGGCGAAGGCAGCUCUCUGGCCUGAUACUGACGCUGAGGUGCGAAAGCGUGGGGAGCAAACAGGAUUAGAUACCCGAGUAGUC
rnacentral:rRNA from 1 species